AGCUUUCUGUGUGUUAACUGAAAGUUGAAGGAAGAUGGGAGCCGGUGGAGUGGUGGCUGUCAGCCACCAGUGUCUUGGUAUCCCUCCAGCUUGUUUACUUGACAAUUGUCUCCAGGUAUUAAACUCUCCCAACAUAGAGGUUUGAAGGAAAUGAUUUUUUUCACACCCAUGUCAAAAUUGUGGGAAGUUGUUUUUUUUUUUUCAAGGGUGGAGGGCAUGCCUCAAAGUAGGACAAGACAACCACAAAUCUUUUGUAAUAGACAUCCUAAAGCUGAUUGGAAUGGCUGAGUAGAGUAAUGACAUCUGACAUGUAUGCUGGGUCAACAUGGCCCUGGUACACUUACGUUUCUCCUGGGAAAUUCAUGUUUAUAAGAGUCCUUUAAUGAACUAUUUAUGUGUGUAGUAAUAAAAUAUACUUUAAUGUACAAA